GAUGAAGAACGCAGCGAAAUGCGAUAAGUAGUGUGAAUUGCAGAAUUCAGUGAAUCAUCGAAUCUUUGAACGCACAUUGCGCCCCUUGGUAUCCCGAGGGGCAUGCCUGUUCGAGCGUCAUUUCACCACUCAAGCCUGGCUUGGUGUUGGGCGACGUCCUCUUUGGGGACGCGCCUCGAAACGCUCGGCGGCGUGGCACCGGCUUUAAGCGUAGCAGAAUCUUUCGCUCUGGAAGUCGGGGCCCCGUCUGCCGGAAGACCUGCUCGCAAGGUUGACCUCGGAUCAGGUAGGGAUACCCGCUGAACUUAAGCAUAUCAAUAAGCGGAGGA
rnacentral:misc_RNA from 1 species